AGGUGUCCCUGCCCAUGGCAGAGGGUGGGACUGGAUGGGCUUUAAGGUCCUUCCCACCCAGACCAUCCUGUGAUUUUGUGAAUUCCACUGAAGUUUCUUAGAUAACCAGUUCUUCAGAGACAACAGAUGUCACUUUUCUUAUUUCCCCUGCAAAUGCGCUGUUUCCAAAACAAUUCCUAUUGUUUCUUCAAUCUCAUUGCUUAGUGCUUUUUAUUAAUAUAUCCAAGAAAGUAUUUCCCUCAUUAUUUUAAAAAGUUCCCUUACUCCUCAACUGCAAUAUUUUUUUUCCUUUAGCCACCACGUUGAAUGCAGAUUUAAAAAGUGCAUGAAGUUAUUAGUGUAUUAGUUAAAAAGUGAGUCAUUAAUCUAACGCCCUUUCUUGUUAAUUAACAGCCAUAUUGUAUGUUUGAUUGUACUAUGUUCUCUGUGUGCAAAACCCUCUCUAUUUUUCUCAAUGCACCAAUUAACUCAUUUUUAAUUUCCCUCUAAAGCCCAAAAUAGCACUUUACCUCCUCCUGCACCUUACAAAGAAAAGAAGCUGGAAUCUUGAAUGAAAUCCAGGAUCUACUGGUCCAGAGUAACUCCUCCUGUAUUACUACUCUGAGUGAAAGAACAGCAAGUAUAAAACCAAAUAUUUGAAAAACCCAUACAGCAAUGUAGGCAGAACACCUGUGCCAGAAUACUCUGGAAAUUUCUGGAAAGUUUUGCUUUUUAUUUUGCAUUUAAUGGCUUAUAUGGCUUUAAACUAAUCUCUUGACGUUAUUCAUUGUGUAUGAUUAUAUUAAAGUCUUAACACCUUAAAUCAAUAAUAACAAUAAACCAGCUAGCAGCCUGUUAACACCUUAUUACAAGCUCCUUGUUCACAUAGCAAAAGAAUAGUGAAAAUAGUAUAAAGUGACUAAUGGAAACCAGAGCCCACCUUUACCCCCACGGAACUGCCAGACCUGCUAGAGCAGAGUCAGCACAGAAAAUGGUCUAGCAGGAAACACCAAACAACAGAAGAACAAAAAAUAUAUAGAUUUAAACAUCAGUGCUUCAUUACUACACCGAGAAAUAUAUAACAGAGAAAAUGAGUGGCUAUUAAUUCAGAUAGGAGUAAGAUCAAAUCUUAUAUUUCUUAUAUUUAUGCUUUCAAUUGUCCCACAGAGAUUUUGAUUCAAACUUCCAUUCUGCAAUUCUGUGAAUGGAGCUGUCAUUUCUACUUUUCAACCUGCAACACGGAAAUUUAGCUCCAGAAUUCUCACAGGGCUGGAUCAUCCUGACCUAAAUGUCUUGUGUUCAGGAACAAAGCAUCACUAUAUUGGUUAGAUCAGAUAAGCCAAAUUCCCCUUGCACAUCCUUUUCCUGCUGAGGGAAGGCACACUCAUGAAAAUAUAACAUCAUCGUGAAACCCUUUUGUUAUUGUUUAACAUAACUCUAGGACUGCGCUGGAGCACAGCUAUUUCACUGUCAAUGUCUUACUGUUUCUCAAGUGCUUAAGUAUUUAUCCCACCACAAAAUGCUGUUGUUUGGUGCUGUGAGUUCCUGGGAGCUUCAUUCAUAAGAUGCAAUCAGUGCAAUCCUAUUUCAUGAUGACAGUCAUUAUCCACUGGACCAGAAAUCCUCCUUAGUACUAUUUAUUUGACAAAAAUGAUUAUUCAGGAUCUUUAACCGCCAGGUUUGUCAGUCCCACACAACACAAAAAUAUUUCUCUGUACUUUUACAGUUUUAAUAUCUGCAAAUGUAGAAGUGAAAUACGUAAGUAUGAAUAAUUUUUAUGAGAAUUUCAUGGACCUUGAGAAAAUGUCUUGCCAUGUUUUUCUCUUUAGCUAUUUAAUUGCAAUGUCAUAUUAACAGAAAGCAGCAUACCCAAUUCUGCAUGGAUGAAUAAACACAUUCAAUAAAGAAGAUUUAACAGAGUAAAUCAAACACUGGAUUAAACAUUUUCUGCAUAACAGACCACAAAAUGGGCAUUCAUUUUACCAAUAGAUCCUCUACAUUAGAAACAAAUAGAAAUGCACACCAACAUAAUUAAACUGCACAUCCUGUGGCCUGAUUACUGAAUUUCCCUGUAUUUUGUUAAACUAGGUCUCAUCAAUUAGAAUUGCCAAAAUGCAUUCCAAAAUGCAUACAGAAAAACUAAAUGUAAUUCUUUUAACCAUUUGUAUUCAAUAUAUUUUCCCCUAUGUUUUAUGAAGUAAUUCACAAUCCUAUAUAUUGAGGGGGAUUUAUACAGCGUUUUUAGCAAAAACAAUUCAGGAGGACACAUAAAAGGAUCAAUUUUAAGAUUCCAUUUUCAGCAGUUCUAAAUACUUUUUCUGUGAGCAACUCUUCCUACUUUGAUUUCCAGCAAAACAUCUCUCCUAAAAAUAUGGUGGUUUGCUUUAUAACUUUUAUUUGGGAUUUUCACAUAGUCAUAGAAGUACCUCUGUUACUUUAAAGCCUGUGUAGUUAACAUUUACCUCUGUCAAAAUGCAUUUCAGAAAUGUAGUGAUCUGAGCAAAACCUCAUGUUUUUAUGUUCCUAGGGAGAAACACUGAAGCUCGAAAGAAAAUCAGCAAGAAUCAGCAUUAGAAUGAUGGAGUUUCCAGUUAUUUCGAGAUCUAGUCUCAGAUCAUUUGAUCAAAUGUGUCUCCCUCCAAAAACAAACAGCAAAUGCUUCAUAUUCCCUAUGAUGAAUUUUAAUUUUUUGGCGUUACAGCCUCUUUAUCCUGCGGUGACUUCACGUGUGAAAUCUCAUUAUUCAUUCUAUUAUUCCCUCAAUGGCUACAGAAUUUAAUUCUACUCGAGUACCAGUUUGAAUAAGGAUCAGCAGCAGGAUCGGGCCUAUUAGCUGCUUGAAACAUCUCGUGAAUAACCCGAUUUAUCCCAACCAAAUGGCUCAUUAGUUCGGGCAGCAGGGAAAUGUUUGUGUGUUGCUGCAGUUCUGCGUGGUUUUCAUAUGGAGUUUGCAGUUAUACGACUGCUCAAGCAUGAACCAACUGGAUUGUUCAUUAACCACAGGAACAGCCACUCUGUGCUCAAGCAUGUUUAGCAAAAAAUUAGUUGUUUCCAAAUUUAGUCCAAACUCCCAGACACCUUUAUUCUAUCUCCUCCUUGGUUACCACUAUCUGAGUUUUUCUCUCUUCCUGUAGUUAGUCCUGAUCGUGCCCUCAAAUCUUAUCUUUUAUUAAUGGCAUUAGACCCUAAGGUACAAAUUCUCAGUGAGAUGGAGAUAUUCAGUUCCCAUGGAUGGGAUGAAUAUUCCUCUGAUACAGUCAUCUUGGCCUUGGUACAUCAGUUAACUGAACAGAGCUUAAAAACUCUGAAUAAUAAACCCACAUUCUCUACCUAAGGAGCACUGGAACUAAUGUUGAAGUUGCCCUUUUGAUUACUAAGAUGUGGGUAAAUUAUAGGAUUGUUUAGGGAGAUGGGGAAAGAGUUACACGUCACUUGACUUCUGUAAGCAGGCGAGGCAAGGAGUCUAUUUUUCCAACCUUUAAUUAAUGACAAUCUGCAACAAUUCUGCAGGUCUCUCAUGGCAGUCAAAACUUUCUUGUACAAAAUGAACACAGAGGAGAGAAAAAACAGGAUCAUGGCUUUGAUCAGGCUGCUCUGCCCAGCCUGGAUGGCAGAGGAUGGAAAGAAAGCUCCACUCCAGCUAAAUUGAGAAUUACCAAUGAGUUUUCCAGGUCUCCAAGUCUCCUAAAACUACAGAUGUGCAGGAUGAAGGAGAUUGUCUUUGCAGCAGCCUCAAAAUGCAGGGGGUUUUUUAUGCUACAGGGUAAUCUUUAAUCUUAAAAUAGCUGAUGAACCUUGGAUGACUAAUAUGCUGCAGUUUUCAUUGCUUGUCUCUCAGAGACGUGGAGGAAAACUUACUUUAGGAAUUGGAGACAUGGAGAACUACUGGUGGUAGAAUCAGACUGCAUCUUGAUUUACAGUGAGCUAACCCCAUGUUAUUAUGUACAUUAUAUAGGGUCAGUCAUGGGUUUAUUUGGCUUGAUUACUUCUCUUGUAGUGGUCACUAAAAUAAUGACCACAGUUGACCCUCUAAGGAUUUAAAGUAUAAACUCUCAGAGAAUAAAUGCAUUUUGUAUAUGUAUCAAAGAAUGGUUAUAUGGCUAAAUUACACGUUACAAGCUUGGCUUUUCUAAAUACUCUUAAUAACCAAUCUCUUCUGUUUCUUCUCACCUACUGAAAACGACAGCAUUAUAACAGAAUGUGGUAUCCAUAACAGCAGUAUAAAUUGGGAGGAAUUACUGAAAUUAUGCCAUUGUAAACCAGGAUGCUACAAAACAGUUUAAUGCUUUCUGUCCUUGCAAUUCCAUGAUUUGUAUAUUCCAGCAUCUAAAAGUCUUGGUCAAUCAUGGUAUUUCUGCAAUUGCCAGUAAACACCAGAAAAAAGAAAUGGAUUGGAUGUAUGGGACUGCUGUAUAAGGUUGGGCAAUAAAUCAAGAUUGAUUAAGAUUUAAUCAAGAUUAAGUAAAGAUGGACAAGUGUGUCUCAUGAUAUUCAUUUACUACUCUAUUUAAUUUACAAUAUUACAUGGGGCAGUUUUAUUGCAUAGUAAGGUUUUCAUACUUGUGCUUUCCAGGUUUGGGAAAACUGUACCUUUUCCAGCACAUCUGGAGACUGUGGCUUAUACUUCACCAGAGAAACCAUAAACAAAAGACUAUAAAGGCCUCGGAUGAAAUGAGUUCUUGCCAGCUCAGAUUCUUGUGAAGACACAUGUCACCAAGGACCCAAACACGAAACUGUAUCCGAGAGACAUCCAAAAGUUAGGAGGGAGUAACAGCCAGGGACUGACUUUCAGGAGAUGAUGGACCUGAGCAUUGUAGCAUAACUGCAACCUGACUGUCAACCCCACUGCCUUGAUAACAGGCUAUUCUCCAGGUUGUGUGUUACUAGAGCGAUAUUGUGUAAAAUGAAAACAAUAAGAAGUCAAAUCUUGUAGUGUGAGUGAGAAUUUUAGGUUUGAAUGUGACAAAUCAUGGUGCAUAGUACUCAAUAGAAGGCUUUUUUUGUUUGUUUGUUUAGUCUUAGCAUGAUCUUUUUAGGGUAAGAUGUUGGCUUGGUCACUGUCACAGAUCACAGACCCACACAAUACAGUACAGCUCUUUGAUAAGGCAAUUUCUCCAGCAGCAGAACAGCUAUUCCUGUUCCUGUUGCUAUUCCUACAACCACCUCCCUCAACCAUUCUGCACCACAGACUCUCUGAGGGCAGCCAGGAGACUUUGAGCCAUUCCACUUCACUUCUGCUCUGUGCCUGAAGGGACUCAGAUCCCAGAAGGCAGAACAAUCGGGAGCACAGUGUCCACUCCCCCUUUUUGCACCCACUUAGCACCUUAUGAGCAGCACUUCCUCUUCAGUUUGAUUAGGUAGAUAAAACAAUAGGCUGUAGCUCCUCACACUUGGAGGGUGCAAUCUGAAUAUUAAUUCCAGAUAGUUGAUGUGGACCCUCAUAUCGACCCUUCCCUUAAGCCAGAAGAGACAGAAUUCCCCCCCACACCUCAGAAGAAUGCUGUGCUGUUGUAAAUGUUGAGGCAGAUUAUUAGGAAGAUUUGCAAGAAUAACUAUUUAAAAUGGUCACAUUCAUUUUAAAGAAAAGAAAUAUAAUUGGUAUUUGCAUAGAAGAAAAUGGAUGAAUUUAAAUUUUAGUUGAUUAUAAUUAUUGUCAUCAUAAUCAUCAUCAUUAUCUUUGUAUGUCUAAAUGACUGAUUCAAAGAAGAAUUUUUAACACAUUUCACAUGUCAGUGCAAUUCUUUUCUGUUUUGUGCUUUACUGCUUGGGGUUUUUCAUUUGCUUUUUUCAGUCUGAACUUUCCAUGGAAGCUAUUGUAAUUUUCUUAAAAGGUGGAAAAAUGUUUCAAAAGAAGUCAAAUCUAGAAAUACUACAUAGGUACAUUUUCUUUUUUUCAAUGAAACUUCAUCAAACUGUACAGAAAACCUGUGGAUAGAUAUUGUGGGAUGACACUUUGAAAUGGUCCUAAGAAAGAGAUUAUUAAUAGCGAGGUGCUACCUAAAUCUGGCCUUUUUAACCAGACAAGGGAGGUGAAACUGGGACAGUUGCCUACAGAUUAGUAGGUGAACUCAUUUAAGUGGUAGUGAAUCCAGAUGAGGAUAUCACUCAACAAGUCUGUUAAUAAACUGGACCUGUAGGUAGACAUCGAGCUCCUAAAGGUUCUCAAAGUUACUAAUAGUUUGUUAUUUCAGUACUGUGUAUAGUGAUACAGCUGAUAUUCUGUAUUCCCUGUUAAUGCUGCUACAGUAAAACCUGUGUGUUCAGUAGUAAAUCUAUAUUGUGUGAGUUUAUCAGGAUUGGCAAUUAUGAAGGGUUCAGAUCCACAAUAUCUGUUGGUGAAAGCAGUUUCUUUUUUACUGAGCACCACAUCAAACCCGAGAUGAGCAAUCAGGACUACAAAGGCCUUAUACUGAGCAUAGCAAAAAAAGUGUCAUAAUUCUCAUUUCCCUGAUGGCUUUGAAAUGACUAUGAAAAGCAUUUUGCAACAGAGGGAUCAUCAUAGCUGGUGUGAUAGCUGCAAUUCCUGAUACCUGGCAUCUGUCACAAACAGGGCUUCAUCUUCCAUAACUUCACCUUUAGCAUGAGUUCUAUUUUAUUUGGUUCCUUUGCUCUUCCAUAAGGGCUACUGAGCCAAGUGUUAAAAUCCUGUGUCUGCCCAGGGCUACUGUGCCUUGUGGAAACAAUUGCUCCCUGCAGUCUUGCAGAAGGCAGUUCCCUGAUAGUCUGUUUUCACAUGGUUUCCUAUGUGACAAGGAAUUCCCUAAAUAGGAAUAGGGAAUAUAUAACCUAGUGGAAGCCUUAUUUGCUUUUUAAAUAAAAUGAUGAUGUCUUCUUUCUUAUUUUCUUGGGAUGAAUAGAAGCUGUUCAUGCCACUACACAGAAAGACAGGAGCAACUCUUAAAAAACCCGCUUUGAGCUGUAAAUACUCACAGAUUAGAUGUCUCUGUCCAAGAUACAGACUA